rnacentral:rRNA from 1 species
GACGAACGCUGGCGGCGUGCUUAACACAUGCCAGUCGAACGGUGAAGCGCCUUCCUUUUUGGUGGGUGUGGAUGAGUGGCGAACGGGUGAGUAACACGUGAGUAACCUGCCCCCUUCUUCUGGAUAACCGCAUGAAAGUGUGGCUAAUACGGGAUAUUCUGGGUCUGUCGCAUGAUGGGUCUGGGAAAGAUAUUGUUUCGGUGGGGGAUGGGCUCGCGGCCUAUCAGCUUGUUGGUGGGGUGAUGGCCUACCAAGGCGGUGACGGGUAGCCGGCCUGAGAGGGUGGACGGUCACACUGGGACUGAGACACGGCCCAGACUCCUACGGGAGGCAGCAGUGGGGAAUAUUGCACAAUGGGCGCAAGCCUGAUGCAGCGACGCCGCGCGAGGGAUGGAGGCCUUCGGGUUGUGAACCUCUUUCGCCAGUGAAGCAGGCCUGCCUCGUUUGUGGGUGGGUUGACGGUAGCUGGAUAAGAAGCGCCGGCUAACUACGUG